AAGCGCAUCUACCUCCCACUUGCUUUUCCUGUUCUUUUUCUCACCACUCAAUUAUGGUGUUUGACAAAUAUUGGCAGCUGGGUCCACCACCAAUAAUGUAUCCUUCAAGCAUUCCGCAGUGUAGCUGGAUCCACCACCAAUAAUGAUUCCUUCAAGCAUUCUGCAGUGUAUUCAAGCAUUCUGCAGUGAAGCUGGGUCCACCACCAAUAUCUGGCAGCUAGGUCCACCACCAACAAUGAUUCCUUCAAGCAUUCUGCAGUGUAUUCAAGCAUUCUGCAGUGAAGCUGGGUCCACCACCAAUAUCUGGCAGCUAGGUCCACCACCAACAAUGAUUCCUUCAAGCAUUCUGCAGUGUGGUGAUCCAAACCCAGUCUUUUGCAGUUUGGUGGUAUCGCGGUAACAGAAACCAAUCCUCUAAAUUCCUAUUGCAAAGCAACAGUCGACACAGAUAUGGCGGACGCCCUCCUCUCAGCUUCGCUUCAAGUUCUAUUCGAAAGGUUGGCUUCUCCAGAGCUCAUAAACUUCAUUCGGCGACGGAACCUUAGCGAUGAACUCCUCAACGAGUUGAAGAGGAAACUCGUGGUUGUUCUCAAUGUGCUCGAUGAUGCGGAGGUGAAGCAAUUUUCAAACCCAAAUGUCAAAGAGUGGCUCGUCCAUGUCACGGGUGCUGUGUAUGAUGCGGAAGACCUGUUGGACGAGAUCGCUACCGACGCUUUGCGUUGCAAGAUGGAAGCUGCUGACUCCCAAACCGGCGGAACUCUUAAGGCGUGGAAAUGGAACAAGUUCUCUGCUUCUGUGAAGACUCCAUUUGCUAUCAAAAGCAUGGAGUCCAGGGUCAGGGGCAUGAUUGAUCUACUGGAAAAAAUCGCACUAGAAAAAGUUGGGUUGGGGCUGGCAGAAGGUGGGGGCGAGAAACGGUCACCAAGACCAAGAUCACCAAUAUCCACUUCUUUGGAGGAUGACUCCAUUGUUGUCGGCAGGGAUGAAAUUCAGAAGGAGAUGGUGGAGUGGUUGCUUUCUGACAAUACAACAGGCGACAAAAUGGGGGUGAUGUCCAUGGUGGGCAUGGGCGGCAGCGGCAAGACCACGCUUGCUCGGCUUCUCUAUAACGAUGAGGAAGUGAAGAAACACUUCGACUUGCAAGCAUGGGUCUGUGUUUCCACUGAGUUUCUCCUUAUCAAACUCACCAAAACAAUUCUUGAGGAAAUUCGUUCUCCACCUACUUCUGCUGACAACCUAAAUUUGCUUCAGCUUCAACUCAAAGAGCAACUUAGUAACAAGAAAUUUCUGCUUGUUCUUGAUGACGUCUGGAAUUUGAAGCCUCGUGAUGAAGGUUAUAUGGAGCUUAGUGAUCGUGAAGGUUGGAAUAUUCUACGAACUCCACUCCUCGCUGCAGCAGAGGGAAGCAAGAUUGUCGUGACCAGUCGUGAUCAAUCUGUUGCAACAACCAUGCGAGCAGUCCCUACUCAUCAUCUUGGGAAAUUAAGCUCUGAAGAUAGUUGGUCCCUGUUUAAAAAGCAUGCAUUUCAAGAUCGAGACUCCAACGCAUUCCUUGAGCUUGAACGCAUAGGCAGACAGAUUGUGGACAAGUGCCAAGGAUUGCCUUUGGCUGUGAAAGCACUCGGCUGUCUCUUGUAUUCUAAGGUCGAAAAAAGGGAAUGGGACGAUGUGUUGAAAAGUGAAAUAUGGCAUCCGCAGAGUGGCUCCGAAAUUCUUCCAUCUUUGAUAUUAAGCUACCAUCAUCUUUCUUUACCUCUGAAGCAUUGUUUUGCUUAUUGUUCUAUUUUUCCCCAGGACCACCAAUUCUACAAAGAGAAGCUGAUUUUAUUAUGGAUGGCAGAAGGUCUUUUACAUCCACAACAAAACGAAGGAAGGAGAAUGGAAGAGAUCGGUGAGUCAUAUUUUGAUGAGCUUCUUGCCAAGUCUUUCUUUCAAAAAUCUAUUGGAAGAAAAGGAUCAUGCUUUGUAAUGCAUGAUCUAAUACAUGAAUUGGCUCAACAUGUGUCUGGAGAUUUUUGUGCUCGAGUGGAAGAUGAUGAUAAAUUACCAAAAGUAUCUGAGAAGGCUCACCACUUUUUGUACUUUAAUAGUGAUGAUUAUAACGAUUUGGUAGCAUUUAAGAAUUUUGAGGCUAUGACUAAAGCUAAAUCUCUUCGAACAUUCUUAGGAGUGAAGCCAAUGGAAGACUAUCCUAGGUAUACUUUGAGUAAAAGAGUUUUGCAAGAUAUAUUACCAAAAAUGUGGUGUCUACGCGUGUUAUCAUUAUGUGCAUAUGACAUAACUGAUUUGCCUAUAUCAAUAGGCAAUUUGAAACAUUUGCGUCACUUGGAUUUGUCUUUUACAAGGAUUAAAAAAUUACCUGAAUCAGUAUGUUGUUUAUACAAUUUACAAACGAUGAUGCUAAUAAAAUGUUCAAGACUUAAUGAAUUGCCUUCAAAGAUGGGAAAAUUGAUUAAUUUGCGCUAUCUUGAUAUUCAUGGAUGUGGUUCAUUGAGAGAAAUGUCAAGUCAUGGAAUUGGUCAAUUAAAAAGUUUACAAAGGUUGACUCAAUUUAUUGUGGGCCAAAACAAUGGAUUAAGAAUUGGAGAAUUGGGAGAGCUGUCAGAGAUUCGAGGAAAACUUUAUAUUUCAAACAUGGAGAAUGUAGUGAGUGUUAACGAUGCAUCAAGGGCUAAUAUGAAGGAUAAAAGUUAUCUUGAUGAGUUAAUCUUUGAUUGGGGUGACGAGUGUACCAAUGGUGUUACACAAAGUGGUGCAACAACGCAUGAUAUACUCAACAAGUUACAACCUCACCCAAAUUUAAAACAACUCUCCAUCACAAACUAUCCUGGUGAAGGAUUUCCAAAUUGGCUUGGAGAUCCUUCAGUGUUGAAUCUCGUGUCCCUUGAGCUUCGGGGUUGUGGCAAUUGCUCAACAUUGCCACCACUUGGACAGCUAACCCAGCUUAAAUAUCUGCAAAUCUCAAGGAUGAAUGGAGUAGAGUGUGUGGGUGAUGAGUUCUAUGGGAAUGCUUCCUUUCAAUUCCUAGAAACACUAUCAUUUGAGGAUAUGCAGAACUGGGAGAAAUGGUUAUGUUGUGGAGAAUUCCCUCGUCUCCAAAAGCUUUUUAUACGAAGGUGUCCCAAACUCACUGGGAAAUUACCAGAACAGCUUCUUUCAUUGGUGGAACUUCAAAUUCAUGAAUGUCCGCAACUGCUUAUGGCUUCACUCACAGUUCCUGUAAUUCGUCAGUUGAGGAUGGUGGAUUUCGGUAAACUGCAGUUGCAAAUGGCAGGUUGUGACUUCACAGCUCUUCAAACUUCAGAAAUUGAAAUUUUAGAUGUGUCUCAGUGGAGUCAACUUCCAAUGGCACCACACCAGCUCUCAAUUAGAGAAUGUGAUAAUGCGGAGUCUCUGCUAGAGGAGGAAAUCUCGCAAACCAACAUACAUGAUCUGAAAAUCUAUGAUUGCAGUUUUUCUAGAUCCCUGCACAAAGUUGGUUUACCCACUACACUGAAAUCACUAUUCAUCUCUGAGUGCUCGAAAUUAGAGAUUCUCGUACCUGAGUUGUUCAGAUGCCAUCUCCCAGUCCUUGAAAGUCUAGAAAUCAAAGGUGGUGUUAUCGAUGAUUCUCUCACGUUAUCCUUCUCAUUAGGCAUCUUCCCCAAGUUGACUGAUUUCACAAUCGAUGGUCUUAAGGGGCUUGAGAAGCUCUCCAUUUUGGUUUCAGAGGGUGAUCCCACAUCUUUAUGUUCCCUGCGUCUAAUUGGUUGCUCUGAUCUUGAAUCUAUCGAAUUGCACGCUCUCAACUUAGAGUCUUGUUUGAUUGAUAGGUGCUUCAACCUUAGGUCGUUGGCACACACACAGUCAUCUGUACAGGAGUUGUAUUUAUGUGAUUGUCCAGAAUUGUUGUUUCAGAGAGAGGGUUUGCCUUCCAACCUACGUAUACUUGAAAUUAAGAAGUGCAACCAACUCACGCCCCAGGUGGAGUGGGGUUUGCAAAGGCUGACCUCUCUUACUCGUUUAAGAAUCCAAGGUGGAUGUGAAGACAUUGAAUUAUUUCCCAAGGAGUGUUUGCUGCCCUCUUCUCUGACUUCUCUUCAAAUUGAAUCAUUUCCCGAUCUCAAGUCUCUUGACAGCAGGGGUCUUCAACAACUCACCUCUCUUCUAAAAUUAGAGAUCAGAAACUGCCCAGAGCUCCAGUUCCCGACAGGAUCGGUUCUUCAACACCUUAUCUCUCUAAAAGAAUUAGGAAUUUAUGGAUGCUUGAGGCUCCAAUCAUUGACAGAAACGGAUCUUCAACACCUCACCUCUCUUCAAAUAUUGAGGAUCCUAUACUGCCCAAGGCUCCAAUCCUUGAUAGGAUCGGUUCUUCAACACCUCACCUCUCUUGAAAAUUUGGAGAUCAAACACUGCCCAAUGCUCCAAUCCUUGACAGAAGGGGGUCUUCAACACCUCACCUCUCUUGAAAAUUUGGAGAUCGUAUACUGCCGAAUGCUCCAAUCCUUGACAAAAGUGGGUCUUCAACACCUCACCUCUCUUAAAACAUUGGUGAUCAUGAACUGUCGUAAGCUCAAAUACUUGACAAAAGAAAGACUUCCAGACUCUCUCUCUUUUCUGGUCAUCGAUGGGUGUCCUUUACUGGAAAAACGGUGUCAAUUUGAGAAAGGGGAAGAAUGGCGUUAUAUAGCUCACGUUCCAAAAAUAGUGAUCAAUGGUGUGCUAUAUUAAUCAAAGUGCCACUCCGCCAAUAUAGAGUCAGUAAUCAGGAUGAGCAUAGAAGAUUUGUUAUGAUAAACAAAGUUUCGAUUAUGACCAUGGAAGAAAUAUGUAAGCAGCUUGCAGUGAUUGGGCGUCCAUGUAAAAUGUGCUCUAACCAAGUGGACUUCUGCAAAAGGAAGUGGAAUAUGAAGAAAGAUAGAUUGUU